CAGUUCUGUUUUCUCAAGACAAAAAUCUUAACCUUACUUUUACAAGUGAUUAAGAUUAUUUUAUUUACAUGUAAAUUGAAACAAUAAAUAUUGUGCUUUGUCAUAAUUUAAAACUCAUUAUGUUGAAGUCUUUUCCAGUUGAUAAAAUUGCAAUUCAAAAACUUUUAGAUUUGUACUGUAUGGAUGGCACAGGAAGAGAACAAGAGUACAAGAACAUGAAACAUCUUAUUAUGAAUGUAUAUGUAUGUGAUCCUCAAAAAAUUAUUUUUCAAAACAAGAUAGAGAAUGAGCUUUAAAAUCCCAAGGAUCCUGCAAAAUGUCUAUUUGGUGUACUAGUCGAAUAAUAGUAUCUAAAAAUAAUGAAACUGUUUUAAAACACAUUAUGGGCAUGAGGAUGAUAUAGAGCACUUACAUAAAUACCAAAAUCAGAUAAAUAUCUCUUCAAAGUUUAUUUUGAGACUUUCUUCAAAAAUUAAACUUCAGACUGUCCAGGAUAGCAUAAUAGCAUAGGAGGCAAAUUAAAAAGAAUUAAUUUACUUACAAGAAGAGAUAUCACAAACAUUAAACUCUCUUAUGGCAUUGAUUUGAAAGAUGGGUAUAUGUACAAUGAUGAUGCAACCAGUGUUUAUUUUUGGGUUGAAUGCUUACAGAUUAUUUAUUUUUUCCAAUAUUAUUUUACAAACAACAGGGCAUACUAAUGGAUAUUCAUUCUGAAUUUAACAUUUAUGAUUUUUGUCUUAUUUUCCUUAAUACUGUGCCAAAAGGAAAUGUUAAUUAAGUUUGGCAAAUCCUUUAUCGCAAUCGAUGGAACUCAUGGGCUCAAUUCCUAUGACUUUGAACUUAUGACAGUAUUAGUAAAAGAUGAAUUUGGGAAUGGAUUUUGUACUGCUUUCUUAUUUUCAAAUAGAAAAGAUACCUACUUUAAUUUA